rnacentral:rRNA from 1 species
AACGAACGCUGGCGGCAUGCCUAACACAUGCAAGUCGAACGAAGGCUUCGGCCUUAGUGGCGCACGGGUGAGUAACACGUGGGAACCUGCCUUUCGGUUCGGGAUAACGUCUGGAAACGGACGCUAACACCGGAUACGCCCCCUAGUCGUGGAGAUUGGGGGGGAAAGUUUACGCCGAGAGAGGGGCCCGCGUCCGAUUAGGUAGUUGGUGGGGUAAUGGCCCACCAAGCCGACGAUCGGUAGCUGGUCUGAGAGGAUGAUCAGCCACACUGGGACUGAGACACGGCCCAGACUCCUACGGGAGGCAGCAGUGGGGAAUAUUGGACAAUGGGGGCAACCCUGAUCCAGCAAUGCCGCGUGAGUGAUGAAGGCCUUAGGGUUGUAAAGCUCUUUCGCACGCGACGAUGAUGACGGUAGCGUGAGAAGAAGCCCCGGCUAACUUCGUGCCAGCCGCCGCAGUAA